CUUGAGAGUUUGAUCCUGGCUCAGAACGAACGCUGGCGGCAUGCCUAACACAUGCAAGUCGAGCGCUACCUUCGGGUGGAGCGGCGGACGGGUUAGUAACGCGUGGGAACGUACCCAGAUCUAAGGAAUAGCCACUGGAAACGGUGAGUAAUACCUUAUACGCCCUUCGGGGGAAAGAUUUAUCGGAUUUGGAUCGGCCCGCGUUAGAUUAGAUAGUUGGUGGGGUAAUGGCCUACCAAGUCUACGAUCUAUAGCUGGUUUUAGAGGAUGAUCAGCAACAUUGGGACUGAGACACGGCCCAGACUCCUACGGGAGGCAGCAGUGGGGAAUAUUGGACAAUGGGGGCAACCCUGAUCCAGCAAUGCCGCGUGUGUGAUGAAGGCCUUAGGGUUGUAAAGCACUUUCACUGGUGAAGAUGAUGACGGUAACCAGAGAAGAAGCCCCGGCUAACUUCGUGCCAGCAGCCGCGGUAAUACGAAGGGGGCGAGCGUUGUUCGGAAUUACUGGGCGUAAAGGGCGCG
rnacentral:rRNA from 1 species